UCAAGCAGCCAUAUCACCCUGCAACUCACAACUGGCAACCCACUGAACAUAAGCAGGUGUGAGCCUGGUCAGUACCUGGAUGGGAGACCUCCUGGGAAAAACUAAGGUUGCUGCUGGAA
ensembl:rRNA 5S_rRNA 5S ribosomal RNA